CCACUGUUGGUCCAGGCCCGAUUCAAACUGGCUCCUGGAUCAGGCGUUUCUCCGCAGCACACUCAAGACGUCAGCGGAACUUCAUCGCCCUCCACAAUGAAAGUUCAAGUUACGUGGCAAAUUAAUACAUCUACUCCAGCUGAUUUAUCUCUGCGGGACGCCACUCUCCCUGCCCCACUACUCCGUUAUCAAUGCCCUGUUAGGAAAGCUAUCGCUGUGUUGGCACUGAAGAAUUCCAUUCCCCUCGUUGCCAGAUGGGGACCUGAGGGUUUGCUGGUGCCGGUGGCUGAUAACAGAAGCAGUUGCCGGUUGUUCCCAAAGCAGAGACGUAUACGGGGUUUGCUGUCGUCAGCUGUUGAUAGCUCCGGCUCUGUGUCAUUAUUUCUCCUAUUCUGGACGCAUAAGGGCAGAUCCACUGAAAUCAACAGGGCUGCCUUGGCUCCCAGCAGCUGAGAAUCUGGUGACAUGGACUUUAAAGCCUGUAUAAUCAAUGCUGCUAGUAGCAAGCUGGAAGGCAGAACUAUUUAUUCAGGUGUUUUUAAUUAAUACGUUGUUUGCCUGUUUUGGUGGUGGUUCUUUUCUUUUACAGCACUUUCUAGGCUGGCUUUCUUACUGAGACAAUAACAACGCAGCAGGACCUAGAAGCAGGACUCCUGGGUUCAAUUCCCCAGCUCUGCCACUCACUGGCCGUGUGACUUCUUUGCUCCCACUUGGACCAGGCGUGAGGACUCCUUUGCGGUUGUGUCUGUCAUUUCAGCUGAUACCCCCUCUGGUGGCUGAAGCCAAGGAACUAACCCUGGAGAAUGGGUAGCAUUCAGCAAGGCGCGCUGACCAUUCCUUUCCCAAUUAACAUGGCAAAGUGUCUGCUGGAAGCUGGGACUGGACCACAGGGGAUGGGUCACUUGAUCAAUUGCCCGGGCCUGUUCACCCUCUCUGAAGCAUUUGGCAUUGGUCACUGUUGGAAGACAGGGCACUGGGCUAGAUGGACCAUUGGUCUGAUCCAGUCUGGCCGUUCUUAUGUCGUGGACGCACAGACGAUAUCAGCCAUCUGAUUUUGUUUUAAUUGCUACCAAACAGGCAACAAACCAGUCAACAAGAUGGAAGUCCCCAGUGAAGCCAGACGAGGCCUCCAGUGACUAGAUAAGGAAGAAGAAUCGAUGGGAGAGGCUUGAGUGAGAGGAGAGUGGUCCAGAGAGCUGGAGCUAGGAGGAUGGACUGUGAUGGUUUUGAGGUUGAUUUCCCUGGCAUCUCUCCACUUAGGGCAAUGUGCUGGGGAAACUCGGGGAUUCACAGUCUAAGCUCUUCACAGCGGGAGGUUGUAACUGCCGCUCUCCGCACCCCACACACCCGUACUGAUCGUCCAUUCUGGAUGGCCCCUCAGCCAUGUAGGUCACUCUGACAAGUCACCAGCCGUGACAUGGAUCUUGGAAAAUAUCCUGAGUAGCCUGGAAGCACCGAGGCUGGUUUCUCUGACGUGCUGCAGCUUGGGCAGCCGUCUGCUCCUGUGCAAAGCGAAUAUAAAAAUGCUACCAAGGGAGCAUGUGGCUCCAGACGAGGUGCACGGGAUUGCACACGAGCACAGCGAUGGAGGAUCAGACUGUGUGUUUUUAGAUUAAAUUAAAGACUUGCAGGUUCCACUGCUGCUUUCAUAUGAUAAUUAUCUGCUGGGGCAGCCUUUGAAUGGCUGGGGACGGCCGUUAGCCUUUCAUGGCUCCAGAUUUAGCACCCGGUGGCCUGUAUGAAUCUAGGUUCUCUUCUCAUUUAUGCCAGUUUUUCUCGGCUGUAACUCCAUUAGCUUCAGUGGGGCUGCUUCUGUUUGACAUCAGAAGAAUUGACAGGAGAAAUUGAGCACCGGGUGUUUCAAACUGUUAUGUCCAUGUGCACUUCCAGGGAUGAAUUUGGCCCAAUGUGUGUUAAAUAAUGGUCCGUUCAUUUGUCACUCUUCAAUUUUGCACCCCCAAAAGUGUAUUAUUGUCAAGAGAGAUAAUUAAGUAAAUAAUGAGAAUAUUUGAAUGCAGAUGAGCUGCAUUUAAAAAAUUCGGCGUGUGAGCGAAAUGCAUCCUCAAUUGUAACAUCUUCUGCAAAAUGUGGAGUGGUCGAGGUAGUCAGAAGAACUUUGAUGGAACAAUCUUCGGGAUGAGAAAACAGAUCGAUGGUGUCAAUUAAAACUUUUUUCUCCUCCUCUUUUUUUUUUCCAAUGUCAAAAUAUCCCAUUUGGACAUUGUUGGAAUUAAACAUUUAGAUUUUUUUCCUUUUGAAAUACUUUUCAUUUCAAAAUUUGUUAUAAAAUAAAAUAAAUCGAACUCACAAUGAAAUGUUUCAGUUUUGUUGCAAAUAAAACAUUUCCAUCAAUCCUAAAAGAAAUUUUUCUGCAAUUUUCUUUUGUGGAAAAUUUUGAACUUUUUGGGUUUGCUCCGAAUUGGAAUGAAAAUACAUGUCAAAAUCUCGACAUUCUCUGCCAAAAGGCAUUUCCGUUCUCCGCACAGCUCCAGGAGGUAGUAAAGCUCUUAUAGGACAUUCGGGCUAUCUUCAUGCAGAAAUCUUUUUGCUAAUAGACACAUUCUGUAAUCCAAUACUCGAAAGACAAAAAAUGUGUCUUAGAGCAUCGCCUUCAUGGAGUCAGAGGAAGAUAAUUAAAAUGUAAAGAUGAGGCAUUUCCCUCCCUCCUUUUCCCUAAAGCCUCCACUCUCUUCCAUCUCUAAAGAUCUAGCCAAACAGGGCUGGCUGGGACUGAGAUAACAUUUGAAAAAAGGAUUAAUUUCUUCUUUCCAGGCCUUUAUCUGCCUACCUGGAGGAAUAUUGCCUGUGCUGCAACACACCGGUUGGUCUAAAUCUGUUUCUCUUCCAGCUUCUUAAGAGGAAAACAUGUCGUUAUCCCAGGGAAAUGAGAGAGGUCUUGGGUGUGGAAAACCUCAUUGUGAUCUGAUUGUAUUAAAAAGGAUAUUGAGCUGGUGUAAUAAAAUAGAAUAGGA